GGGAAGGGAAGGAGGAGCUGGUGUCAUCAGCUGCUGCUAGGAAAGAACGGAGGAGCCUGGGGGAAACUCUCCAGUCCCAAGAGGUUGGGAGGCAUGAGAGCCCUCUUAUGGAAAACUGACCUUCUGAUUCAUCACUGCAGUAUAACACAGCCAAGCCCUACACCUUACUCAGGAUAAUGUUCCAUGAGUAUCUGCUGGGUCAUUUUUAUGAAUGAAUGAUUGAAGGGCAGGAAUGAAACCCUCCAAGAAAUGGCUGAAUGAGUGAUCAGGGUAGAACAGACACUUAUACCAAAGAAUUCCAGAGAAGCAGAUCCUGCAUGGCCCCAUCGUGGGAACAUGGCUGAUAAUCUCCACGGGCGCAUAGAACACAAGACCCUGUCUGAUGAACAGCACCAUUGGGCCUGCCUGUCGUGUAGCAGUGUAUACUUUGUCUUGAGAUCUCCAUUUUCCUCUCAAUGUUGACAGUUGUUUCUGAUUUUCCUUUUCACUUCAAAUUGCUCCCCUCCCCUAAGCCCCACAAAUACAAACCUACUCAUAAUCUUUUCAGUUCCUCAGAGUUCCUCAGAACUUCUUUCUGUUCUUACCUUCUUUACUUGCAGUUGUUUCAAAGUCAUGUCUCAAUCACCAUUUACACCUUAAUAAGAAGUUCAGCCAGUGUUUGGUUCCCCAUGUAUAUUAUGUUAUAUAUUGAAUGUAUGUGUAUAUAUAGCAUAUACUCCACAUAUGUAGCAUAUAUAAACAUAUAUAUAAAAUAAGCAUAGUUCCUCAGUAUGGGGAAAAUGUUUUGUGCCUGAUUAGAGAAUUGUUUAGGCUUCUUUCUUACAUAUCAGUGUCCUUUUUCUGUCAUAAAAUAAAUCUCAUAACAGACAAAUUGUGAACAAUUUUUAAAUAAAAAGUAAAAGA